GCAAUCUGCCCUGUACAGGAGGAUAGCUCCCCGAAAGGGGAAUUAACACUCCAUAAGAUAUUAGAGUGGCAUCACUUAGAUAUUAAAAUUACGAUGGUACAGGAUGAGCAUGCGUCUGAUUAGCUAGUUGGUAGUGUAACGGACUACCAAGGCGAUGAUCAGUAGGGGAACUGAGAGGUUGAUCAGCCACAUUGGGACUGAGACACGGCCCAA
rnacentral:rRNA from 1 species